rnacentral:rRNA from 1 species
AUGCUCCUACACCGCCCCGCAAGGCCGCUCCUUGCGCGUUGCAGCAAGACUCACGGCCACCGGCGCUACUUUUCUCAUCCCAAUCACCGGCGCUGCAAAGCCGGGACCACCGUUGCUUCUCAUCCCGGCGGCACCGGCGCUGCUUCUCACCCCGUCCACUGGCGCUGCAAAACCAGGGGUUGCGUCCCCGUGGAUGUCGCCACGGCGGCCGAGCUGCAGUGCAGCAUAAGCGACACCUGCAUAUCUCACCGGCGGCAAAUGCUCCAAUGCAGUGUCGUCAUGGUGGUGACCACGGUGCUAGACUCGCCGACGACGGCAGAUGCUGCAUCGCAGCGUCGCUCGUGGUGGACACCACGGCGCUAUCCUCACGCGACGACGGAAGAUACUGCAACCUGCAACGCAAUGUCGCUCCCCGUGGUGACCAUAGCGCUGCAACUCGUACCGAAGGAUCCCACCCUCGGCGGCAAUGGAGCACCGCCGGAGGCGUUGAAGCUUCAAUGGAGCGCCGUGGGGGCUGCAUUGGAGCGCCGCCGGAGUUGCAAUGGAGCACCGCCGGAGGCGUUUGAAGCAUGCAAUGGAGCGCCGUGGGGGCUGCAGUGGAGCGUCGCCGGAGUUGCAAUGGAGCACCGUCGGAGUCGUUUGAAGCUUGCAAUGGAGCGCCGCCGGAGUUGCAAUGGAGCACCGUCGGAGGCGUUUGAAGCAUGUAAUGGAGCGCCGUGGGGGCUGCAGUGGAGCGUUACCGGAGUUGCAAUGGAGCACCGUCGGAGUCGUUUGAAGCUUGCAAUGGAGCGCCGUGGGGGCUGCAGUGGAGCGCCGCCGGAGUUGCAAUGGAGCACCGGAGCUGCAAUGGAGCUUCGUCGGGUCAUCGUCGGUGCUGCGAUGCAGCUGUCGCUGGCGCUAAAGUGA